GUUUCAGGGCGGAGUGAAAUUCUCCACUGGCGGUAAAGUCCGCGAGCCUUUUGAUAAGGUUGAUUUGGUGUAAUUCCAAAACCAACGGUUAUAGUCCGGAUGAAAGAAA
rnacentral:ncRNA from 1 species